AUUGAACGCUGGCGGAAUGCUCUACACAUGCAAGUCGAACGGCAGCACGGACUUCGGUCUGGUGGCGAGUGGCGAACGGGUGAGUAAUGUAUCGGAACGUGCCCAGUCGUGGGGGAUAACGUAGUGAAAAUUACGCUAAUACCGCAUACGAUCUAUGGAUGAAAGCGGGGGAUCGCAAGACCUCGCGCGUUAGGAGCGGCCGAUGGCGGAUUAGCUAGUUUGUAGGGUAAAGGCCUACCAAGGCGACGAUCCGUAGCGGGUCUGAGAGGACGACCCGCCACACUGGAACUGAGACACGGUCCAGACUCCUACGGGAGGCAGCAGUGGGGAAUUUUGGACAAUGGGCGAAAGCCUGAUCCAGCCAGUCCGCGUGAGUGAAGAAGGCCUUCGGGUUGUAAAGCUCUUUCGGCAGGGAAGAAACGGUUUUGGAUAAUACCCAGAACUAAUGACGGUACCUGAAGAAGAAGCACCGGCUAACUACGUGCCAGCCGCCGCGGUAA
rnacentral:rRNA from 1 species